AGAGUCUGUGCACGGUGCCGCGUGCUCGAGGCCGACAACGGCACAUCUCAAGUCACAUUUCGGCGAUAUUUUUCUGGGAUCAUUUAUGUAAAGGGCUACCCAAUGACGACGCAACAACGAGAUGAAUAGAAGAGACUCAUCUGACCAGACGUGCGUCACGUGCAUAUCCCUGUCCAUGUAAUCCUUCAAGAUUAGGACGCAGAAAGCGUGCCACUUGGCGGUAGCUUUCUAUGUGAGGACAGCUGUUUACUGCCGAAGUGGAAUUUCAUGCUCGCGGUUUCACUAGUGACUCAUUGGUCCGGCACAGUCCUAUACUAUCCUACCUGGACUGCGUGAAACGGAAUGUCUCGACUAAAACCUGUUGCGCGCCGUCAAGUCGGCGCUCCCUGAACCUGGUGCCUUGGGAUGCUGCAAUUUCUGAACUGCACAGAGCUCGUCCCCCGUCAAAUACAUAAAUAAAGCGACCUCCGCAAAAG